CCCUUAGAUGUUCUGGGCUGCACGCGCGCUACACUGAUGCGCUCAACGAGUUUUAACCUUGCCUGGAAAGGUUGGGUAAUCUUUUUAAAACGCAUCGUGAUGGGGAUAGAUUAUUGCAAUUAUUAAUCUUCAACGAGGAAUUCCUAGUAAGCGCGAGUCAUCAGCUCGUGCUGAUUACGUCCCUGCCCUUUGUACACACCGCCCGUCGCUCCUACCGAUUGAGUGGUCCGGUGAGGCUUUGGGAUCUGAGCGGAAAGAGCGUUUCGCUGUUUCUGCCCGGAAAACUCAGUCGAACCUUAUCAUUUAGAGGAAGGAGAAGUCGUAACA
rnacentral:rRNA from 1 species